rnacentral:piRNA from 1 species
AAGACUGAAAAUGAACACUUUUUU